rnacentral:rRNA from 1 species
UACGUAGGGAGCAAGCGUUGUCCGGAAUCAUUGGGCGUAAAGCGCGCGUAGGCGGCCCGAUAAGUCCGCUGUGAAAGUCAGCGGCUCAACUGUUGGAUGCCGGUGGAUACUGUCGGGCUAGAGUACGGAAGAGGCAAGUGGAAUUCCUGGUGUAGCGGUGGAAUGCGCAGGUAUCAGGAGGAACACCUAUAGCGAAGGCAGCUUGCUGGGACGUUACUGACGCUAAGGCGCGAAAGCGUGGGGAGCGAACAGG